rnacentral:rRNA from 1 species
CCCUUAGAUGUUCUGGGCCGCACGCGCGCUACACUGAUCAGUGCAACAAGCAUCCGUCCUUGGCCGACAGGCCCGGGCAAUCUUUGAACGCUGAUCGUGAUGGGGAUAGACUUUUGCAAUUUUUGGUCUUCAACGAGGAAUUCCUAGUAAACGCAAGUCAUCAACUUGCAUUGAUUACGUCCCUGCCCUUUGUACACACCGCCCGUCGCACCUACCGAUUGAAUGGUCCGGUGAAGCCUCCGGAUUGGCGUACACCCUCGGGUGCUGCCGAGAAGUUGGCUAAACCUUACCAUUUAGAGGAAGGUGAAGUCGUAACA